rnacentral:rRNA from 1 species
GUGUCAGCAGCCGCGGUAAGACGAAGGAUUCAAGCGUUGUCCGGAUUUACUGGGUUUAAAGGGUGCGUAGGCGGAACUUUAAGUCAGUGGUGAAAGCUCUCGGCUCAACCGAGAAAUUGCCAUUGAAACUGAUUUUCUUGAAUACAGUUGAGGUAGAUGGAAUAUAACAUGUAGCGGUGAAAUGCUUAGAUAUGUUAUAGAACACCGAUUGCGAAGGCAGUCUGCUAAGCUGUUAUUGACGCUGAGGCACGAAAGCGUGGGGAGCAAACAGGAUUAGAUACCCUGGUAGUCC